rnacentral:lncRNA from 1 species
AUGACUAUUGUUUCAAUUGAUUAUUUAACAUUGUAUUUUAUAGAAACCUAGGGUUUAGGUUGUAUUUAUCAUUAUUUAACAUUUUAUAAAAAUCUAGGAUUUAUAGAAAUCUAGGGUUUAUAGAAAUGUUAACAUUUUAUUUAAAUCUAGGGUUUAGGGUAUGGGUUGAAUUUUUAGGAUAUAAUCAUAACUUUUAGUUUAUGUUUAAACUCGUAGGAUAUGAAUAUAACUUUUAGUUUUUAGGUUUUGUUCUUGUGAAUUGAACUUGUAGGAUAUAAAUUGAAAUUUUAGGAUAUGAGUUGAAUUUUUAGGAUAUGAAUUGAAACUUUUAGGAUAUGAGUUGAACUUUUAGGAAAUAAAUUGACCUUUUAGCAUAUGUAUUGAACCUUUAGG